rnacentral:rRNA from 1 species
CGUUGUCCGGAAUCAUUGGGCGUAAAGCGCGUGUAGGCGGCCCGGUAAGUCCGCUGUGAAAGUCCAGGGCUCAACCCUGGGAUGCCGGUGGAUACUGUCGGGCUCGAGUCCGGAAGAGGCGAGUGGAAUUCCUGGUGUAGCGGUGAAAUGCGCAGAUAUCAGGAGGAACACCAAUGGCGAAGGCAGCGCGCUGGGACGUGACUGACGCUGAGACGCGAAAGCGUGGGGAGCAAACAGG